rnacentral:rRNA from 1 species
ACGCACGCUGGCGGCGUGCCUAACACAUGCAAGUUGAGCGACGAACCAGGGCUUGCCCUGGGGCAAAGCAGCGAACGGGUGAGUAACACGUGGGUAACCUACCCCGAUAACCGGGACAACCCGAGGAAACUCGGGCUAAUACCGGAUGUGCUCACUGGACUUCGGUUCAGUGCGUAAAGGAAGCUUCGGCCUCCGUAUCGGAAGGGGCCCGCGGCCCAUUAGUUUGUUGGUGAGGUAACGGCUCACCAAGACCGCGAUGGGUAGCUGGUCUGAGAGGACGAUCAGCCACACUGGGACUGAGACACGGCCCAGACUCCUACGGGAGGCAGCAGUGGGGAAUCUUGCGCAAUGCGCGAAAGCGUGACGCAGCAACGCCGCGUGGGGGAAGAAGGCCUUCGGGUUGUAAACCCCUUUCAGGAGGGACGAAGGUUCGGCGGUGAAUAGCCGUCCGGACUGACGGUACCUCCACAAGAAGCCCCGGCUAACUACGUG